CGGGUGAGUAACGCGUGGAUAACCUGCCUCACACAGGGGGAUAACAGUUAGAAAUGACUGCUAAUACCGCAUAAGCGCACGGCAUCGCAUGGUACAGUGUGAAAAACUCCGGUGGUGUGAGAUGGAUCCGCGUCUGAUUAGGUAGUUGGUGGGGUAACGGCCCACCAAGCCGACGAUCAGUAGCCGACCUGAGAGGGUGACCGGCCACAUUGGGACUGAGACACGGCCCAA
rnacentral:rRNA from 1 species